AUGUUGGUCUUGGACGUCAAUUUAACAUUGUCAUUAGACGUUGGCUUGACAUUGAAUUUUGGUUACCUGACGUCGCGACCUAAAUCUAAUCUAAUAUUAACGUCAUAUGAUGUUGUGUGCCUGCUGGGAAUGUACAUGAAUUAUUUGCUGGUUGUCUGUCCCAACAUCUGUUUGUCUAUUGCAUUUGUUCUGUGGGGAGUUAUUGAAGGGUCUGUAGUUGAGGUAACAAUGUGUGCGACAAUUAAUCUGAGUCGGAUCAUUUUGUUAUUUCUUAUGGCCCCAUAUUUCAAUUGGAAUACUACUGUUUCUGUUAAUUUUCCAGGUUUCAUCCACAGAAUGAUUGAAUUUGUAGCGAUUCCCAUUGCAUAUCUUCUGAUUUCCACAGCAUUUUGCUCAGCUGUUCUUCAUGAUCUCAGGAAUACAUCUCAGUGGACUGAAGUUGUUCUUGUCAGUGUUGGGAUUAUUCUGCUGUCAUCCAUGCCUGCAGUUUUUCGAGCCUUAAACAACGUUUGCUUCACACGAUUUUUUGAUAUACAUUUGUCAGUGCGAUUUAUUUUAGAGUCGUUAGGACACGUUCUCAUGCAGUCAAGCAACUUUCUUCAAAUGCGUCUUCUCUUCUAUAAAUCAUCAAGUGUUGAUGAAUCCAUGAUCAAAAUGACAUAUGCCUUUGGGGGAAUUUCUGCAGCCAUAUCAUUAAUAGUUCUUCCAAUUCCAGCAAUUCGCCAGUACCUUUGUUCAAAACUAGGCACAUAUCAACUUCAUGCGCUUAUAUGGAGAUGUUAUUUAGUUUGGGUAAACGUUAUGGUUGUUACGCUCAUCGGGCAUAGUGCAUUUAUUGUAUAUUAUCUCAACAAGAUUCUGGAGUAUACUAACGAGCGCUUUGGAUGGAUCUUUGUCACAGUUAUGCUCCAUGUCUUGACUGCAAUUUCCCCCACACGAUUCUCCAGAAAAGUUCCCGAUGUAAUUUACACUACUUUGUUCAUGUAUGGGGUGGCAGGUCUACCAGUGGUCAACUCUGUUUCUCUUGCCACAGAAUUAAUAUUGCAAGUAUACAAGGGGGAGAGAACAGUGGAUGAUCUGCGUGUAAUAGUGCUGGCGUUUGAAAGCAUUAUGCCUGGUGUGUGGCUGGUUUUACAGAUCCAUGCAUACUGGGCAGUUGCCGGGAGAGACGUACAGAAUGAGCUGUAUGCGCUGAGGGACUUUGCGGCACAGUGUACACCACAGCAAGGAGAUAUUGGUGAAUCAGAUUUUUCAGAGAAUCAACUUUCUGAGAUCCAAAGAUGUCAGCAAGAGGCAGCACCAUUCCUGGGAGAGCCAGAUCUAGGGGUUUAA
rnacentral:lncRNA from 1 species